rnacentral:lncRNA from 1 species
GGAGAAGACAGAUAGUAUGUGUACAUGCAAAAAAUGGAAUCUUCUACAUUAUUUUUAAUUAAGAGGUAGGGCAUGCAUAUUCCUCUAGAUCAGUGGUUCUCAACCUGGGGCCCCAGAUAUUUUUGGCCUACAACUCCCAGAAAUCCCAGCCAGUUUACCAGCUGUUAGGAUUUCUGGGAGUUGAUAGCCAAAAAUAUCUGGGGACUCCAGGUCUAGAUAUUUUUGGACUUCCCAUCAGUCAUAACCAGCAUAAGGUAUGGUGCGAGUUGCAAUCCAGCAAUAUCUCAAUGGCCAUACAUUCCCCAUAACUGUUGUAGUAGAUGUGUGCAGGUUUCAGGAGAGUUUACACAUAAAUCACCAAUUUAUUAUUCAGCGAUGAUGAACAGCUCAGUUCCAGAAGAACCUCAGUGGAAAUUUGCCACACAUUUUCUUCAGUAUCUGGGACAGAAAGCAUGUCUUUUUCUUGAAAGAAUUAUAGGAAAUAUAGGGGCUCAAUACUAGAAUGACAACCUUAAGGUGAACCAAUCAUGGGGUUUCCUUGGUAAAAUUGUUCAUGAUCAAAGUUUCCUCUGAGGCUAAGAGGUUAUGAUUUUUCAUGGUUGAGUGCAAACUUCAAUCCUAGGUCUCAAGGAUAAUAGCUUGAUGCUCAAACCAUUACACUACAAUGGUUCUCCCUAAUACUAGAAGACAAGUCCUAAUUUCUGUAAAUUGGGUGACUACAAAAGCAAACUAUCUUUGCCCUUUGUUCUAUUUUAUAUUUCUACCUUUUGCAUUUUAUAGAUCUUAAACAGCUGUCCUUGUUUGCUGAACUCUUUAACUUGAACUCAUUAGCUUGCAAUUGUUUUCAUGUGUUCAUUUUACCAUUAGUUAAUAAUGAAAUGUUAAGUGUUCUGUGGAACCUUUGCUUAAGGCACUUGCUACAGAUCAUUGAAUGGUUUAAUUAAGACUCACUGUUGGAUGAGGCAUGAACUCUGUUCCAGUUUUAACAUGGGGAAGGACUCGUCAUUUGAAUGUAACACAAGGUAGCUGGAGGAGGAUGAUUUCUUCUUCUGUCUGGAUCUGUGUAGGUCACCCAACAUCAGCAUGGAGUAUUUCUUUGAUUGAUUGUUUGUCCUUUCCAUCCAUGUUUUCAAGGGAACAUUGGAAGCUAAACCUCAGAGAGAAGAUGAUUGUCACAAUUCAUAUGACUAUGGCUACUUUUUCUAUCAUUGCUAUGGUGCUAUGCAGCAAAAUAUCAUUCACAGGCUCAAAAAUGCAAGAGAAACAGAGAUAUGGGGGGGGGGGGUUACAUUAUGCUUGCCAAAAUGCUAUACUGUAUAGAACUAAGAUUAUUUCAUUUACUUCACUGAUAAUGAAAUAGUUUCUUAAAUAAACCUCUUGUGAAGUAUUAUUUAUUUUUUAAAUAUAUAUCAAAACUCAAAGAUGCAUCAAAAGAAUGGUGCUGAUAUAAUGUCACCCCUCCCCAAAUAAAUAUUUCUUAAAGACAGGUGUGCUGGUAUCUUUGGUUUCAAGCUGUUUCCUGUCACUGCUGCCAACUGAAGAUACAGCUGAAAUGCAACUCUGCUGUGCAAUUUACUGCAUUCGUUGUUUGCUAUUCACUAACAGGUUGUUUGAUCUUGGUGACAGAGAAAUCAUUCCUUCAGUUUCUCCUACAGAGAGAGAAAACUUUAUUUAAAUAAAUUUAAAGCCAAUAUACUGACAGGGUAUCAUUGCUAUUACUGGCAGGGCUUUGAAAUACAGCAUCUCAAAGCUAGUGGAUUUAAAGCAGACUGUCUGGUCUACAAGCCCCCAUGCCUUUAAACUUUACUGAUUCACCAAAAAUAAAGACUUACAGAUGCAAUGACUUACAGUUAGUAUGGUACUUAUUUGUAGUUAGUUACAAUGGUAGUUGCAAUGGUUUUACUCAUCGGCCUUCAAUAAAAAAGCAGCAGAAUAAAAUUUAUUUACAAGUUAAACAUUCCUAAUAUAGAAUCCUAAAUAUGAAAUUCUCACAAAUCUGAAAGUCUUUUCCAUCAGUUGCCUGCUUACACCUUCAAGGCAGUUGUUACAGCACUGCUGCUUGUUCAUUUGCAAGGUAGAAUUGGGAGACUAGUGGGCACCUCAGAGAUCUGGUGUAUAAUAUUGCAAUUUUUAAAAUAUUAGGUCCUUUUUAUUCUGUCUGUCAAAUCCCCUAUCUCUUUUCAGCCUCACAUCCCAUACACAAGACAAGUAGCAAACGAAUGAAAUGUGAGGUUGGAGAGAGAUGUGAGGAUCUGGGAAAUGGCAGGAGACAGGGAUACUAAAAAUGGCUCAUUUUAUAUAUAUAUGUAUGUAAAUAUUCCAAAAUCUAGGGGGCGGGGGAGACCAUCUGAAAUCUUAAAUACUUUUGGUCCCAACUAUUUUGGGUAAGGGAUACUCAACCAGUUAUAUUAUUAGAUUACCUCAGAGGUAGACAACUGAAAGCAAUGAGGGAAGGCUAGACACUGACUCCAAGUAGGACUCCGAGGUCUGCAACUGCUCACUGUCACCCCUAU